UAUGCUAUUAUAAUUCUGGUGUUGUCGCUUUUUAAAAGAACUUAUUGGUUUUUUCCUAGUGUUGUUUCCUGGUGUGGAAAAUUGAAUGCUAUAGCUUGUGCUUCUGAAACGUGUGCAAGAAUUCCAAGGUGGAUAGGGCAGCAGCUAAUGUGAGAAACACUAACAUAAGGCUAAAGAAAAUGCUCACUAAGUGUUGUCUACAAAAGGAGGAAUUCUGUUAUGUGUACUCGAUUGUGUCGUGUGGUACCCAUUGUAGCCUGAAAGUGACCUACUCUUUGUCUUCAGUGACUAUCUAGCCGAGGGUCAUGGCCACAUCUCCGAGGUCUCCUCCGCAUUUCGAUGGUCAGUCAAAGGCCACUUCCAAGAGGAGUAGACAAUCGACAUGGCUAAGAAGCUUGACUUUAAGAACUGUCGAUCAACCAAGACCAAUAGUUAAUGUAAAUCCCGGUACUGGGAGAGGAUCAGGCCUUCACAAGUAAAAGUUCCAUAAUUAUCUGAGGGUAGUAGCUCAAGAAAAGAUUCCUAUUGUACACAACAACUAGAAAGAUGCACCUGAAUCUCUAAAGGACCUAGUAUGAGAUGACAUUUUGGCUAAAUUUGAUAUCCUAGAAGCACCAAAUGCGAAGAAGAAGGAUCGCGCAAGUAGUAUAAAAUGAUAAGAAUCGAAUAUCGAACUCUUGGGGAACUUGUGUUACUUGGUAAAGCUAUAUUCAGUGAAUAGGUGUCUAGUAUGAAAAGAGAUGUGUCAACUAUGCACAGGUAU